ACAUCCAGCGAACUUGGCAGAGAUGCCUUCGGUGCCUUCGGGAACGCUGAGACAGGUGCUGCAUGGCUGUCGUCAGCUCGUGUUGUGAAAUGUUGGGUUAAGUCCCGNAACGAGCGCAACCCUUAUCCUUUGUUGCCAGCGAUUCGGUCGGGAACUCAAAGGAGACUGCCGGUGAUAAACCGGAGGAAGGUGGGGAUGACGUCAAGUCAUCAUGGCCCUUACGAGUAGGGCUACACACGUGCUACAAUGGCGCAUACAAAGAGAAGCGACCUCGCGAGAGCAAGCGGACCUCAUAAAGUGCGUCGUAGUCCGGAUCGGAGUCUGCAACUCGACUCCGUGAAGUCGGAAUCGCUAGUAAUCGUGGAUCAGGAUGCCACGGUGAAUACGUUCCCGGGCCUUGUACACACCGCCCGUCACACCAUGGGAGUGGGUUGCAAAAGAAGUAGGUAGCUUAACCUUCGGGAGGGCGCUUACCACUUUGUGAUUCAUGACUGGGGUGAAGUCGUAACAAGGUAGGCGUAGCGAG
rnacentral:rRNA from 1 species